CGCGUAGGCGGCAGUACAAGUCUGGGGUGAAAGCCCUCGGCUUAACCGAGGAAUUGCCUUGGAAACUGUACAGCUUGAGUAUUGGAGAGGAAAGCGGAAUUCCCAGUGUAGCGGUGAAAUGCGUAGAUAUUGGGAGGAACACCGGUGGCGAAGGCGGCUUUCUGGACAAUCACUGACGCUGAGGCGCGAAAGCCAGGGGAGCAAACGGGAUUAGAUACCCCGGUAGUCCUGGCUGUAAACGAUGGAUACUUGGUGUGGGAGGUAUUGAGUCCUUCCGUGCCGACGAUAACUCAGUAAGUAUCCCGCCUGGGGAGUACGGUCGCAAGACUGAA
rnacentral:rRNA from 1 species